GUGAUAAAGUUUAUCUAGCCAAUUAAUAGUAGGCCUGGAGCUGCAAGAAAAACAAGAAAAAUUUAAACAUAAAAUUUUUUCCUGCCUGUUUGGGUCUCCUCCCUCCCCUUAACUGCGUAUUGCACGUCUGCACUAACCAGACCUCCUCAGAAGUCCACAUUUCUUCUUAAUCUUAUAAAGGGUUCCAAGAAGGGAGCUCAAUUAUUCACUGUUACAAAAAUGGCCAUUGAUGAUCUUGAAAACCCAGUGGCUGGACCCAAACAUGUAACAAAAACAACAAUACUGCUGGACAGUCCUGCCCUCAGAGGUUCAGAAAGUCCCCCCACCACCUUUGGAGAAACUUUAGCCAAAGACCUAAAAGAUCUCCAUCUGGAAGAGGGAACCCUCCUCCACUGUGCAGACAACAUCCUGAUCAUCAGCCUGCCUAAGGAGGCUUCUGAACCACCUGGCCUCCUUAAAGGAUAUAUGGUGUCCAAGAAAAAGGCUCAAAUGGCACAAACUAGGGUGAC
ensembl:lncRNA